rnacentral:lncRNA from 1 species
UGGUAUUUAUACGCACACAGAUAAUCCGCAAGCGCACGGAUACCGUUGAAGCUUUUACCCGGUUAAAGGUUUUAUCGUAUCCACAGGGAAACGCGAGAACUAACUACGCUCUAACUUAACCUAGAUAGAUAGAUAGGUGUAAAUAGGAAAGAUGGUAGAAUCGAAUAAGAACAAUAUUAAAGGUAAGAUAACAAUAGGUGACAAUAUGGGAAUAGAGAGUAGAGCAAUUCUAAUAUAUGGGCGAUGGUAGCAGAAUAGAGAGGGUAACUAUGGUUUCUCUACUUCAAAGGGGUAUGUCUAUGUCCGGGAGGAACCACGUGAUAAGAGUACACCACAAAGGAUGCUUAUCCUUAGGCCGAUAAACCCUACCCAUCCUGCUAACGAGAGGUGGACUACAGAGGACCAACGUAACUGUCACCUACGCGGCCUACCACACGAUCCAGCUAGACAGGGGAUAUCCACAAGUAAUCUAGAUCUAAGCACCUCGCUUACACCUAUACUACAACUCUCACCUAUAGCGUCCUAUAGAUUAAAGUACUCAAAAGAGUUGUGAACCAGACCAUGCAUAAUGAAUUAGAAGUAGAUUACCAGAGUCAUCCCAUGAGCAAGCUUGAUUAGAGCUUGAUCAUGAAGAAGUACAACCGGAGGAAGAACCGACAGGCCGGCCUCUCCUCUAAUCUUCCUUCGCUCUCCAUCUCGCUGCUAUCUAGAUCUACUCUAGUUUAGAGAAGAGAGGAGAGCUCUCAUCUCUAAACCCUAGCUUUUGCUCUGUCUAUGAAUAAUGAAUAAUGAUCAAGGGGUGCCUCCUCCAGGGGCCAGGGGGUCUGGUUAUAUAGUCCCCUCAAGUGGACCUGGGCCGUCGGAUCAAACCGACAUUGAUUGAACGGUUAU